GAUUAACAUUGCUGUACUGCGUGGUGAAAGAGGUACCCAAAAACGAGAGCUGAUUGAGGAGAAAAAACUGAAGCACAAGGCAGUUUGUCUACCAUACAAAAGUGGCUACGUAUUUAUGCCAUUGCUUCAUGGCAUUGAAAGGAACUAACCAGCCUAGGAUAAGUGACAGAAGAAAAUGAGUCCACUAAUAGCUGUUCAUCUUUUAAUGUUAGAAGUUUUUAGUUACAAAUGAUUGUCAUUCACUUGUUCGCAGUUGUCUCAUUUGUUUUUUCUAUAGACCAGAACAAUGUGGACUAGAGCGGUGUGGAGAGAGGAGACUAUGGAGAUGGAGGAAGUGAUACCAUCAUGUUGGGUUAAGAAUGGUGGUGUAUUGUGGCCUACACAAGGAGCUGCGAGAGCGUUGAAGGCCUGCAAAGAACCAGAAGAAUCAUGGACAAAAUUCCCAUUAAUAAAAAUGAAGAUUCAGUCAGAUGACAAGAAUGAAUGCGAGAAGUAUGAUUUUACUACAACUGCUGAAUUAAGUGGCUCAGAAGAAGAGUUACCGAUGAAGAGGAGGCCAAAAAAAAAAAUUUAUCCCGACUACCAAAUUGAUGAACCAUCUGUCAAUGAAGACAGUAAAAAAGAAUCUUCUCCAGGUCUUAUGAUAAAGAGUACAGGU